rnacentral:lncRNA from 1 species
AUUCAAUAGUUCAAGAAGGAGAUAUUGGCACUAAAAGUUCAACAUUUAGAUUGGAGUAGGAUGUAAGCCAACACCUAAGUGGAAUUUAGGUUUGAUCUUUGAUUUGAUAAGUUUGAUCUUCUUCAAUUUUUGUGUGCUUAUUGCCAACUUAGUUGCUGAGAAGUGUAUAAAAUCUUAUGCAAGAUCAAUAGUAUAAUUGAUAGAUAUUGAGGUUCUAAACUACCUUAAGAUUAGAUUAAUUUGAUUAGGAAUUGGUUAGGAUUUGGGAUUUAUUUAGAAUUUAGAAUUUUUUAUGAUUUAAUUAGAAUUUGAUUUAGGAUUUAAGUAAAGACUACUAGAAUUUUAACUAGGAUUAAAUUAAAAUUUGGUUAAAUUUUAUUUAAGAUAUAUUUAGGAUUUUAUUCUAAUACUUCCUUUGAAUUUUUUUAGGAUUUCUUCAUGCUUCUUUUGUAAAUUUUUUUGAGGUUUUUUUUGGAUUUAAUUAAAUCUAAAUUAAUAUUAUUAAGAUUUAAUUGGAGUUAUUUAGGAUUCUAUUAGAAUUAGAAUCUUCUUGUUAUAAUAUUCUUUCUACCUUCUACAACUAGAUGUUUGGUGCAUUCUAAAACAAGGCUUCACUUAAGACGACAACGUGUAAGACAUGGAUAAUUUAUUGGCCAAGUUUUUAAUCUAUCAAAUAACUAUAAAUACAUAUAAAGUUAAAUUUAAAUUUAUGAAGCUUCACCACAAGAUAUUAUCAAAUCUACCUAUAUUUAUAU